CUUAGUUACCUUGCCUAAUGGUUAUAAGGUAAAGGUAACAUGUACUGGAUCCAUACAAUUCCGUUGUUUCACUCCACAUCAUGUCCUUUAUAUUCCCAGCUUUCAUUACAAUCUAAUCUCUGUGUCCAAGCUUGUGCAACAGUUGAAUCCUAUUGUCAUAUUUAGUAAGUUCUCUUGUUUGAUACAUGCCCCUUCUCUGAAAAGGCCACUGGUAAUUGGUAAAUUGGACGAUGGACUUUACAGGCUUGUGCAAUCUUCUUCUUCUUCUUCUCUUCAAUCUCAUACUCCUUGUAAAUACCAUUCUUCA
rnacentral:lncRNA from 1 species